rnacentral:tRNA from 1 species
UAUCAGGUUAGUUUAUUUAAAAUAUUAGGAUGUGGGCUUAAUGAAGCAGUUUUACCUGCACUUGAU